GUAAAGCUAUAGAAAAGCAUAGAAGGGAAGUGAUACAUAGUGGGACUUAGAAAAAUUUCAACUGUUUCGUUCGUGUACCGAUCUCUAAGAGGAGUGGGAGUUGUUGAACUGAAUUGGAAUACAUUACUAUCAAGAAAUGUCUGCUACUUCUAUGGAAAGUUUUGCAAUUUAUGGGCCUACUCAGAGAGGGAACAACUUAAAUGCAAAUAUUUCAAAGAACACAGAGGCAAAAAGAAACAACAGAUUAUUUCUAUACUGGUUGGACACGACAUUGCUUUAUGGUAUCCCACGUAUGGAAAGUAUGUAAGAAGUUCAAUCGUCUAAAGAGGGUACAACAAAAAAGAAAAAUCACGACGGCGACGUCAUUGUGGAGGCCGACGGGUGGUGGCUCGCGGCGACCCGUCUCCUUGUAGAGCUGCUCGGCGCAAUCGUCGGAUAAUCAGGUCGAAUCUUCUAUGUCGCCAUGUCGAGAACUCCCGAGAAUUGGUGCUGGGAGCCGGUGAGUCGCGGUCGCUGUCUAAAUGAUGUUGAGGUUCGCUCGUCGGUGUGGCGGAAGCUUGUGCUGGCAUCCCAGCUCUUGCCCCGGGGAUGGUAAUCAGCAAGAUGUCUCCUCCUCUUCCGUCCGGAACAAGAGUAACCAAACGGUUGGCGUUUGUGUGGCUGGUCAUCUUCUUGAGAUUUUAUUUUUCCGUUCACCUUCGGGUGUAAAGACGAGCGUGCGGUCUGUCUGAACGCUGGUUGUCGAGUUGCCGAGCAACGUGUUGGGUUGUCAAUAGCAGCUUCGGGUUGGUGGAAGUCGGUGAGUGUGUUAAAGAGCGUCGUGUUUCGUCGGCGAAAACUUUGCCUUCCCCCCAAGUGUCGUAUUCUUUCGACGCAUCGGAUAGAGAAAGAAGAUGGAAGGAAGAUAUGUGAAAGAAGAAUAUAGAAGAAAUGGGGCGUAUGGGAGCUACCACGGAGAAGAAUAAGACCAAUUUGUAAACCUAAACUGUAUAUAGUUAUGCUUUAAAAUCGAACAAAUUCUACAUGUACCGAAAAACUUGUAUGCUGUAAUACAGAUUGCUUUUGUUCUCCCUUUUA